rnacentral:rRNA from 1 species
UAGUCAAUGCUCGCAAGAGUGAACUAGCUAACUGAAAUCAUAGAGUUUCUUUAAACUCAUGAUGUCGUAAGGGAAAAUAAUGAUAAUACCUUACUAAUAGUGUCGUCCAAAUCUGGUGCCAGAAGACUCGGUAAGACCAGAGACGCAAACGUUAAUCAUCAUAAUCAGGCGUAAAGGGUUUGUAGGCUGCUUUCAGCCAACUAUGUAUAAUACAAAUAAAAUAGUUUAAUUGAAAGCUAGAAUCAAAAAGAGGUUAUAGUGUAUAACGUCUAGAGGAGGGCUAAUAUCUUUAGAUCCUAGACAGAAUACUAAAGGCGAAGGCAACUUUCCACUAAUGAUUGACGCUGAGAAACGAAGGUUAGGGUAAGAAAUAGGAUUAGAUACCCCGGUACUCCUUUCUGUAAACGAUGAAUGGUAGUCCUUAGUAUCUAUUUAUACUAGGAACGAAGUUAACACAAUAACCAUUCCGCCUUGUGAGUACUACUGCAAAGUAGAAAACAAAAAAAUUAGUCGGUCUCGAAGCAAACGGAGUGAAGCAUGUUAUUUAAU